rnacentral:misc_RNA from 2 species
AACGCACCUUGCACUCCUUGGUAUUCCGAGGAGUAUGCUUGUUUGAGAGUAAUGUAAUCAUCAAUCCUCCUUUACUUUUGUGAAGUUGGCUUGGAUUUGGGGAUUGCUGGCCUUUCAUUAGGUCCUGGCUUCCCUUGAAUGCAUUAGUUGAAUCAAGUUACAACGUUACGUGUGGUGUGAUAAUAUCUUCACUGCAUAGUUGUAAUGAAGUUUGGCUUCUAACAGUCCUUCACUGGACAAUACUUUGAACAAUGUACCUCAAAUCAAGUAGGACUACCCGCUGAACUUAA